rnacentral:rRNA from 1 species
CCUACGGGUGGCAGCAGUGGGGGAUAUUGCACAAUGGGGGAAACCCUGAUGCAGCGAAGUCGCGUGAGUGAAGACGUAUCUCGGUAUGUAAAGCUUUAUUAGCAUGGAAGAAAAUGACAGUAUCUGACCAAGAAGCCCCGGCUAACUACGUGCCAGCAGCCGCGGCAAUACGGAGGGGGCCAGCGUUAUCCGGAUUUACUGGGUGUAAAGGGAGCGUAGACGGUUAUGUAAGUCUGGAGUGAAAGCCCGGGGCCCAACCCCGGGACUGCUUUGGAAACUGUGUAACUUGAGUACAGGAGGGGCAGGCGGAAUUCGUGGUGUAGCGGUGAAAUGCGUAGAUAUCAGGAGGAACACCGACGGCGAAGGCGGCCUGCUGGACUGAAACUGACGUUGAUGCUCGAAAGCGUGGGGAGCAAACAGGAUUAGAUACCCGAGUAGUC